rnacentral:lncRNA from 1 species
CUUGUACCUCUACAUGACAAGUCUUGAUUCUCAUUUUUUCCCUUACCCCUGCCCUCCCUUCACCCCCUCCUCCCCUCCCCAUCUACAAACACUUUAUUUUCAUCUUUUCAUUAUCUCACAUUUUUUUCUUUUCCCUUAUUACCCUUCCCCUACCCAUCCCACCUUCCCUACACCUUCAACUCCUUUUUUCCCAUUUCUAAAUGUCAGUAAUCUUAUUAGGAUCUUCUGUAUUAUUGCAGAUUAUUCACACCAGGGAAACUAUUCGUUUGUUUU